rnacentral:rRNA from 1 species
GCAAGUUGUAUGUGAAAGCCCUGGGCUCAACCUAGGAACUGCAUCCAAAACUACUAAGCUAGAGUACGAGAGAGGAGAGUAGAAUUUCUGGUGUAGCGGUGAAAUGCGUAGAUAUCAGAAGGAAUACCAAUGGCGAAGGCAGCUCUCUGGCUCGUCACUGACGCUGAGGUGCGAAAGCGUGGGUAGCAAACAGGAUUAGAUACCCUGGUAGUCCACGCCGUAAACGAUGACAACUAGCCGUUGGGCAGAUUUAACUGUUCAGUGGCACAGCUAACGCAUUAAGUUGUCCGCCUGGGGAGUACGGCCGCAAGGCUAAAACUCAAAUGAAUUGACGGGGGCCCGCACAAGUGGUGGAGCAUGUGGUUUAAUUCGAUGCAACGCGAAGAACCUUACCAAUCCUUGAAAUCUAGCGAAGUUCGCAGAGAUGUGAAUGUGCCUUCGGGAACGCUAUGACAGGUGUUGCAUGGCUGUCGUCAGCUCGUGUCGUGAGAUGUAUGGUUAAGUCCAGUAACGAGCGCAACCCCUAUCCUUAUUUGCCAGCGAGUAAUGUCGGGAACUAUAGGGAGACUGCCGGGUGAAACCCGGAGGAAGGCGGGGACGAGGUCAAGUCAUCAUGGCCCUUAUGGAUUGGGCUACACACGUGCUACAAUGGGAAGUACAGAGGGAUGCGAAAGCGCGAGCUG